GAGAGUAGCUUGCUACUCUGCUGACGAGCGGCGGACGGGUGAGUAAUGCUUGGGAAUAUGCCUUAUGGUGGGGGACAACAGUUGGAAACGACUGCUAAUACCGCAUGAUGUCUACGGACCAAAGUGGGGGACCUUCGGGCCUCACGCCAUAAGAUUAGCCCAAGUGGGAUUAGCUAGUUGGUGAGGUAAUGGCUCACCAAGGCGACGAUCCCUAGCUGGUUUGAGAGGAUGAUCAGCCACACUGGGACUGAGACACGGCCCAGACUCCUACGGGAGGCAGCAGUGGGGAAUAUUGCACAAUGGGCGCAAGCCUGAUGCAGCCAUGCCGCGUGUGUGAAGAAGGCCUUCGGGUUGUAAAGCACUUUCAGUAAGGAGGAAAGGUUAAGUGUUAAUAGCACUUAGCUGUGACGUUACUUACAGAAGAAGCACCGGCUAACUCCGUGCCAGCAGCCGCGGUAAUACGGAGGGUGCGAGCGUUAAUCGGAAUUACUGGGCGUAAAGCGUACGCAGGCGGUUUGUUAAGCGAGAUGUGAAAGCCCCGGGCUC
rnacentral:rRNA from 1 species